AGCUAGUAAUAUAUACUUUUACCAUGGGGACAUGGACAGUAUGAUAAUAGGCCACCUUCUUCAUCCUUAAACUUGAACAACAGUUCUUUACCUCCUGAACCUAGAAAAGUCACCUCUACUAUGGUAUGUUGAUGAUAUCUUCAUAACUUGGACUCAUGGGGAGGACUCCCCCUCACAACAAUGUCCACUUUACUAUCAAUUUCAGAACAAGUCCAUUUUUGGGUACCACUGUACAGCAUACAAAUUGAUAUUAUUAUUAUUUUACGUGCUCUUCUUAUGGCUCGAGGCAGGGUACAUCAUUAAAGAGAUUUAAAAACACGAUCAAAAUACAGCAUAUGCAGAGUUGAAAUACAGGUUAAAUUCACUGCUAAAUUCAGAGUAAAAUUCAAAAGCUAAGGUUGAUAGCUAAAAAGUGAAUGCUAUACUUGGAUUCCUCAAGGAGGAAACCAUGAAAAUGAACAAAAUCUGGCUACCAGUAUUAAAAAAUUCCAAAAUCAGAACAGUAAAUAAGGAGCAGCACCCAGACAGGAAUCAAUCAGGGGACAGCUAACUACUCUGAACAAAGGAUUCCCCCAGGCCAUUUAAUGCUAACAAAGGUGAUUAAUUACAACAUUCACACUGGCCUCCAAAAGACAAGAGUUCUUUCUUCCACCCAGAUAUAUAAACCUUCCUUGCUUAGUUUCUCCAUACCUCACAACCUCUGGGGAUGCCUGCUAUAGAUGUGGGCAAAACGUCAAGAGAGAAUACUUCUAGAACAUGGCCAUACAGCCCAGAAAACAUACAACAACCUUGAAACCCUUCGACAAACCCAUUGACUGCUACAUUCCUCCAGUUUCCACCCAGAAUGCAUUACCAAAUCAAUAGUUCGCAGUCAAGCCCUCUGAUACAAUCGCAUCUGCUCAGACCCACAAGAUCUCAUGGAAAUACAAGUAUUUUCUGAGAAUGGAGACCAGGAACUACCUGUAUUACAAAACAUAGGCCGGGUUGAAGAGCAAGCCAGAAGUCAAAGGGUAAACCUGGAGACAGGGUUGAUGAACCAUCCAGAACUGGAGCGCAGGCCAGGAGGUGGAGUUGAGGAGCAAAUCGGAACACGAGAUCAAAGGGGAAAGCAGGAGGUAAUUGGAGAGCAAAUGGAAGUACAAACUAUAGGCAGGGUCGAGGAGCAAAGGGAUGAGGGUCAACGCUGGAAACAGAGCAAAGACCAAAGGAACAAAUUAGAAGGCAGGACUCCAGGGGAAGGUGGAAGAGCAAGCCAGAAGCCAGGCCUACAAGGAGAAGCAAGCUCAAAAACACGGCUGGAUAUCAGAAGCAAGUGGUCACAAAAGGACUAGAAGGCACCAUCGCUCACUCAAGAAGACUUUACCGUAACCAUAAUUGGAAGGUGAAAAGCCAGCACUGAUUUUACGUUGGUAUUCAAGGGUAUGUUUGCCAGGUUUGGUUCAAAUCCAUCGAAUCAGCCCAUUGUGACACAAACUAGCCAACUAACAAACACACACACAUAUACAGUAGAGUCUUGCUUAUCAACGUAAACGGGCCGGCAGAACGUUGGAUAAGCGAAUAUGUUGGAUAAUAAGGAGAAAUUAAGGAAAAGCCUAUUAAAUAUCAAAUUAGGUAAUUAAGCACCAAAACAUCAUGUUAUACAACAAAUUUGACAGAAAAAGUAGUUCAAUACACAGUAAUGCUAUGUAGUAAUUACUGUAUUUACGAAUUUAGCACCAAAAUAUCACGAUGUAUUGAAAACAUUGACUACAAAAAUGCAUUGGAUAAUCCAGAAUGUUGGAUAAGCGAGUGUUGGAUAAGUGAGACUCUGCUGUAUAUUAUACACACACAUGUACAGGUAGACCCCAAGUUAUUGUUGGUUCUUGGCUUGUUGUGGAAACAAGGAUUAUGGCUAAAGCUUCAGUGGAGACCCCUUUCCCGCACGAUAAUAACUCUUUCAGGAGUGAAUUUUUCUUCCAAGGAGAAUAUUUAUCUCACUUCCUGUUGUUUCACCCCUGUUUUUAACUAUGUUGACUGUUUGUAAAUCGGGGACUGCCUAUAUAUAUGUAUACUAGAGUUGUGUGCAGAACCCAUUUUCCUUCGUUACAUUCGUUCUUUCGUUAUUUUCUUUCCUUCGGGAGCACACAACGGGAAGCCCCCUCCCUGCACGAAAAUCAGCUCGACAUGAAAGCAAGCAGGGGCUGAUCUCGGCUCCUUGCCUGCUUUUCGUAAGCACCAGCCUCCUUGCCUUGGAGAGUGUGUGGUGUGUAGCCUACCUGCAGCUGAGCACCUCUCCUCUAGAGUAGAGAAACAGAUUUGAGUUUCUCAUCAAUGCCGCCCUGUUUGGACAGCAACAGUAGCCAAGGCAUUCAAGACCUUCAAACGCCAGGUUGUGUUUCGAAAGGGAGCCUCUUGUUUGGUUGCCCGUUGGAUAACAACCCAAUUUCUUCGGACAUCAUGGAGUCGAGGCUUAGCUUCAUAAAACAGAGGAAAUCAGAGCAGAAAAGAUAGCUGGGGGAAGGCAGAGAGAUAAGCGACUUCCUGGGAAGGAACAACUGAGAAGCAACCCUUCGUUUUCACCAGACGGUGAAAAAACAAAGGGAAAAAAAAAACAUUACAUGAUGUUUGAAAACGAAUACAUAAAGGAGAGGAAGAAGAUAUUUUUACCUACGGCAUGGAGGGAAAUGCCAGUUGGAACCUCAGUCAUAGUUCUGACAUUCAGCCUGAUGUGGAAGGAAGGGCCUUUUAGUUUUGCUUUAUCUGAAAUGUGAUUUUGUUUCUCCACUCAGGCAGUUUUUUGUGGCCUCCAUAGCCCCAAUCCCUUAAAAAAAUGUUAGGUGGUUUGGGGGAAGCCUUUCAAGACUAUUUGAAUAAAAAGUACUUGGGUUUGGAUGGGAAUCUAUAUAUAUAAAAGGGUAAUGGAAUCGCGGCACCGGACAAAACAACUAAACUAAACGCCCCACAACCUCGAAAAUUGACAGCAAAACCUCUUAUCCACUCCUCUACGUUCAGACAACAAAAAGAAAAGAAAAAUAAAGUCCUAGCCACAGCAACACAUGGCCGGGCACAGCUAGUAUUUUAAUAAAUCAAACGCAGAAAUAAUUUGAUAUACCUGUUUUAACAUUUUAUCUUGUAAGAUUGUCCUUUUCGAUUGUUUUACCGAUAUUGUUGAUUUAUUGUUGUAAAUUUGUGUUUUUGUUUUGAUUUUAUAUUGUGAUGUUGGGCAAGGCCCCAUCUGAGCCGCCCCGAGUCCCUUCGGGGAGAUGGGGCGGGGUACAAGAAUAAAUUAUUAUUAUUUAUUAUUAUUAUUAA